AACACACAGUUAAAGACAGGCAGUCACAAACAGUUACAGGCACACAGUCAUAAGCAGACAGUCACACAUACUCCAUUACAAGCAGACAUACACACUCUGUUACAGGCAUGCAGAUACUCACAAACGAUGAUAGACAGACCGUCACACACACAGGCAGGCAGUCACACAGACAGUCACACACAGGCAGGUAGACAGACAGACACACA